UCCCCCCACACCCCCUCAAUGAGUGAGCGCUCAGUAAAUGUUUUGACUGUUUUAAGUUAACAUUUAAGUUUCAAUUCAUCUUUUUUCUGACUGGGAGCGUUCCCACCACUGACCGUACCUGACACCACAAUCAGAAUUUAAUUUGUGCAAAUUGAGUGAAUCUGCUAUCUUAAUUAGAGACGAAGAGACACUCUUCUCCAAUACAGCCCACUUUGCGGUGAGGAUGAUAAGACUCAUUGUGUAGCUUUCAUUAUGCACCAGAACUUAAACUAAUUAAAAUCAGCUACAGUAAAUUAACUAUCAGAGGCAGUUUUUGAACUGUGGGUGGACACAAUAACAGGAACACCUGCAAUCCAAUAAGGUCUCUCUGUAAAAAAUCAUAUAUCUGUGAAAGAUUAUAGAAUAGGACUUUUUUUAUUUGCCAUAUUUAGGUAAAGAUAGGUAUAUAUAAUAUAUAUAUAUAUAUAUAUAUAUAUAUAUAAAUCUGAAAGUGGUCUACAAAAUACAAGUAGACAGAUCGGUAUUACAGAUCAGAUCUAAGAGGAUGCAACUAUUUCUGUGACUUCCUGUUAAUUCUUUGAAGGCUGCUGGAAACUGUCCAACUUGACUGUGGGGUUUUUGUUUGAUCCAAAAACGCCUGCAAUUACUGCUUAUCGUCAAAGAGAACAGAUGUAACUUUAAUAUCAUUUGCAAACACCUGUAGGCUUUUCCUGCUAAGCCAAGUUCAAAGGUUCUGCUGUGAAAAUCAUAAAUUUGGUUUGUUUUAUUGAAUCAGAGAUUCGUUGUUGUGGUGAGGCAAACAGCCUCACCUUUAUCCAUGAUUUAUGUAUCCAUGGUAUUGAAUCCAAAAUUCUUCCUCACAUUACUUCUCAGAUGGUUUGGUGUUAUAAUCUGAAUCUGUCAGUUCAGCACAGCUCACUAGUUUUCUUCAUUUUGGGUCAGCAGUAGCUUACUUUAUCAAAAGGGAAAUGAAGAAACGCAUUUUACAAACAUUGCAAGUUUGAACUUGGACAGAUGACGGCAGUGUACCGAGACAAUACACCACACAUCCUAUAUGUGGCGAAAAUGUUUAUACUGUAAAUGCACUGAAAAUAUAUUAAAGGAAUAUUUCACCCCCAAAAUGACCAAUUGUAUAUCAAUUACUUACCCCGUGUUGCAUGUCUCCACGGUGAAUGAAGAAUCUAUAAAAGGAGUAAAUCCUUAAUGAAUUGAAGUAAAUAGAGGCCACGCUUAACAACAGCAAAACUUUAUCAAAACAUAUAUUUUUGGGAUUUGUAAACGGAUGUUUUGAUAUAGUUUUGCUGCUACCUUUGCACACUGUUUUACAGUAACCUUUAUUUAUUGCCCAUUUUAAGUAUUUAUAUACAUAGAUUUAUUUAGGCAUAAUCAACUGUCUGCCAUUCGUUGUACACCAGGUCAUUAGCUCCAUGUAAAACACACAGCUACAGAUCCACACUCACACACAUCACCGUUAGACACAAUCUCUGGUCGGCUGAAUAUUUACUAAAGCUGAGCUAUCUGUAUGCACACUGUGAUAAGCCUCUGGACUGUUUCUAGGUGUGUGUGUGUGUAUAUUAUAUAUGUGCGAGGGGGGGGGGGUUUGGUGUGUAUAUGUGCUUACCUGUUUGCAUAUAUAUUUCUGCGUUUAUGUGUGUACACACAGGGUAUGAUAAACUGCUUUAUCUGCAGGCACUUAGGUACUAGCCGAGCUGUUUGCAAGCCCAUUAAUUGUCCAUUAGCCUGAGCCACAUGGCUACCACAUGUCUCUCUGGGGCUGCAGAGAGAGGUUUACAAAUGGAGGAGACAAAGCUUUGGGCAACAAGCACACACACACACACACCAUGUACACACCACUGAUGCACAAACAAUAAAACACAAACAGAAUGUGUAGUGAGACGUCGAGGCAACAUGGUUGCAUUAUAUGAUGUAAAUCAGGAGUUAAACGUGCUCGGGUACGCCGGGCACUCGGUUCUCCGUCUUCAUAUCAGCCACCGUCUCUCGUUCAUCUGUCACAUCUCAUUGGCCUUUAUUUCCCCAGACACACAACAUUAAAGCCUAUUAUUGUGUAUUGUGAUCUGCUUUGCACAAGUCACACCCCUCCACCAGAAUGCAUGCAUGCACACACACACAACGCACACACACACACACACACACACACACACAACGCACACAAACACACAUGUUCCCACCCUGCCCCCCUCUCCCUGUCAUCCCACCUCAGGGCUCCAUCUCUCAUUUACCCUGGUUACCAUGACAACAUGGUUUGCGCCACUGGCAGCGAAAGAAGCAGAGAGCAUGAUGGGAAACAAGAGACAGAGAGAUAGACUAUGAGCAGACAUCAACAAUGGAAUAAAGAGUUACUGCUGAAGAGGUUGUGUUUGGACACCCUGCCAUGCUGCUCCGUGUCUCUUUGUGAUGUAUUCUUUUACAACCACUAACUCCUUUUUUAAUCUUUUUCUUAUGAAGACAGCACAAUGCUAAAUCACCAACACGCCGCCCUCUUUUUCCUCUCUCCAUUCCUCUCCUCCUCUUCCACACUGAGUAAAGAGCAGAGCUAGCAUAUCAUCUGCAUUCAUCUCCUAUCCUGCAGUGCUAGCAGCAGACCUGCUGCGGCAACAGCUCUCAUACACAUUAGAGGAUAAUUCUACUUUAUUACAACUGGGGUGUUAUUUUCAUAGUUUUGGCCAUCGGUUCUAUACAAUGAUGUGGCGACACAUGUGGUUCGCCAGAGAGGCAAAUGUUAAAAUCACAUUAACUGUUAUUAACAUCCAACAUACAGGGUUACGGGACUGACUGUCUCCUAAACAAUAUGUUCAAUGAAACUGCAUCGUCAAUGACGUUUUUCGAGGGAAGUUCUUCAGUUUCAAAAUAAGCCGUGGAGGAACAACUUUAAAACAUCUGGAACCAUUAACUUUAUCAGAAACUUUAAUUCCCAUGAUCCUUCUAGAGAUUCGAGGUCACACCUAUUUUUGACGUAAGCCGCGCGGUUCACAGCAACAACAAACAGUGAAAGUGAUCUAUUUACGGUAUAAUGACAUCAUACCAGUAAGAUUACUACAGUUUCAAUGUCUAGACAUCUGUAGAAUAUGUUACGCA